rnacentral:rRNA from 1 species
CAAUAGCGUAUAUUAAAGUUGUUGCAGUUAAAAAGCUCGUAGUUGGAUUUCUGGUGGGAGCGAUCGGUCUGGCGCUUAGCGCGAGUACUUGCAUCGUCUCCGGCCAUCCUUGGGGAGAGUCUGUCUGGCAUUAGGUUGUCGGGCAGAGGAUCCUCAUCGUUUACUGUGAAAAAAUUAGAGUGUUCAAAGCAGGCUUAUGCCGUUGAAUAUAUUAGCAUGGAAUAAUAAGAUAGGACUUUGGUACUAUUUUGUUGGUUUGCGCACCAAAGUAAUGAUUAAUAGGGACAGUUGGGGGUAUUCGUAUUCCGUUGUCAGAGGUGAAAUUCUUGGAUUUACGGAAGACGAACUACUACGAAAGCAUUUACCAAGGAUGUUUUCAUUAA